rnacentral:rRNA from 1 species
AACGAACGCUGGCGGCAGGCUUAACACAUGCAAGUCGAGCGCCCUCUUCGGAGGGAGCGGCGGACGGGUGAGUAACGCGUGGGAACGUGCCCUUUUCUCCGGAAUAGCCUCGGGAAACUGAGAUUAAUGCCGGAUACGCCCGCCCAUGGGGACAUGGGAUGGGGAAAGAUUUAUCGGAGAAGGAUCGGCCCGCGUCGGAUUAGGUAGUUGGUGGGGUAACGGCCCACCAAGCCGACGAUCCGUAGCUGGUUUGAGAGGAUGAUCAGCCACACUGGGACUGAGACACGGCCCAGACUCCUACGGGUGGCUG